GAUGAACGCUAGCUACAGGCUUAACACAUGCAAGUCGAGGGGCAGCAUGAACAUAGCUUGCUAUGUUUGAUGGCGACCGGCGCACGGGUGCGUAACACGUAUCCAAUCUACCCAUGGCUCGGGGAUAGCCUUUCGAAAGAAAGAUUAAUACCCGAUGGUCUCGGUUUAAGGCAUCUUAGACUGAGUAAAGAUUUAUCGGCGAUGGAUGAGGAUGCGUAUGAUUAGGUAGUAGGCGGGGUAACGGCCCACCUAGCCUUCGAUCAUUAGGGGUUCUGAGAGGAAGGUCCCCCACACUGGAACUGAGACACGGUCCAGACUCCUACGGGAGGCAGCAGUGGGGAAUAUUGGGCAAUGGGCGAAAGCCUGACCCAGCAACGCCGCGUGAAGGAAGAAGGUCUUCGGAUUGUAAACUUCUUUUAUGAGGGACGAAGAACGUGACGGUACCUCAUGAAUAAGCCACGGCUAACUACGUG
rnacentral:rRNA from 1 species